rnacentral:rRNA from 1 species
GACGAACGCUGGCGGCGUGCUUAACACAUGCAAGUCGAACGGAAAGGCCUGCUUUCCCUUGUGGAUUGCGGGUACUCGAGUGGCGAACGGGUGAGUAACACGUGAGUGAUCUGCCCCCAACUUGGGUAUAAGCCUGGGAAACUGGGUCUAAUUCCCGAUAGGACUGCAGGGUGGUGCCUGUGGUGGAAAACGAUUUUCUAGUGGUUGGGGAUGAGCUCGCGGCCUAUCAGCUUGUUGGUGGGGUAAUGGGCUACCAAGGCGGCGACGGGUAGCCGGCCGGGGAGGGUGGACGGCCACAUUGGGACUGAGAUACGGCCCAGACUCCUACGGGAGGCAGCAGUGGGGAAUAUUGCACAAUGGGCGGAAGCCUGAUGCAGCGACGCCGCGUGGGGGAUGACGGCCUUCGGGUUGUAAACUCCUUUCGACCGCGAGGAAGCCACCUGGUUGGAAGGGUGGUGACGGUAGUGGUAGAAGAAGCACCGGCUAACUACGUG